rnacentral:rRNA from 1 species
UACAGAGGGUGCAAGCGUUAAUCGGAAUUACUGGGCGUAAAGCGCAUGUAGGUGGAUAUUUAAGUCGGAUGUGAAAGCCCCGGGCUCAACCCGGGAAGUGCACUCGAUACUGUCGAGCUAGAGUAUCGGAGAGGUUGGUGGAGUUCUCGGUGUAGAGGUGAAAUUCGUAGAUAUCAGGAGGAACACCGAUGGCGAAGGCAGGUCUCUGGGCAUUAACUGACGCUGAGGAGCGAAAGCCAGGGGAGCGAACGGG